UACGGAGGGUGCAAGCGUUAUCCGGAUUCACUGGGUUUAAAGGGUGCGUAGGCGGGCAGGUAAGUCAGUGGUGAAAUCUUCGAGCUUAACUCGGAAACUGCCUUUUGAUACUAUCUGUCUUGAAUAUGGUGGAGGUAAGCGGAAUAUGUCAUGUAGCGGUGAAAAUGCUUUAGAGAUGACAUAGAACACCUAUUGCGAAGGCAGCUUACUACGCCUAUAUUGACGCUGAGGCACGAAAGCGUGGGGAUCAAACAGG
rnacentral:rRNA from 1 species